CCAAUAGCGUAUAUUAAAGUUGUUGCAGUUAAAAAGCUCGUAGUUGAAUUUUGGGUUUGGCCAAUUGGUCCGUUCUUGUAACGAGUACUGGUUGGUUGGGCCUCACCGCCUGGUGAUGCGUAAUGUCCUUUAUUGGGUGUUGCGAGUAGUCAGGACCUUUACCUUGAAAAAAUUAGAGUGUUUAAAGCAGGCUUAUGCCGGAAUACAUUAGCAUGGAAUAAUAGAAUAGGACGAUGAUUCUAUUUUGUUGGUUUCUAGGACCAUCGUAAUGAUUAAUAGGGAUAGUUGGGGGCAUUAGUAUUCAAUUGUCAGAGGUGAAAUUCUUGGAUUUAUUGAAGACUAACUACUGCGAAAGCAUUUGCCAAGGAUGUUUUCAUUAAUCAAGAACGAAAGUUAGGGGAUCGAAGACGAUCAGAUACCGUCGUAGUCUUAACCAUAAACUAUGCCGACUAGGGAUCGGGCGAUGUUGUUUCAAUGACUCGCUCGGCACCUUAUG
rnacentral:rRNA from 1 species